AUUGAACGCUGGCGGCAGGCCUAACACAUGCAAGUCGAGCGGAAACGAGUUAUCUGAACCUUCGGGGGACGAUAACGGCGUCGAGCGGCGGACGGGUGAGUAAUGCCUAGGAAAUUGCCCUGAUGUGGGGGAUAACCAUUGGAAACGAUGGCUAAUACCGCAUAAUACCUACGGGUCAAAGAGGGGGACCUUCGGGGCCUCUCGCGUCAGGAUAUGCCUAGGUGGGAUUAGCUAGUUGGUGAGGUAAUGGCUCACCAAGGCGACGAUCCCUAGCUGGUCUGAGAGGAUGAUCAGCCACACUGGAACUGAGACACGGUCCAGACUCCUACGGGAGCAGCAGUGGGAAUAUUGCACAAUGGGCGCAAGCCUGAUGCAGCCAUGCCGCGUGUAUGAAGAAGGCCUUUGGGUGUAAAGUACUUUCAGCAGUGAGAGGGUCGUUAA
rnacentral:rRNA from 1 species